rnacentral:lncRNA from 1 species
CUUUAUUCAUUUUUGGUUUCACAACCAUUACAUUGAGUUUAAACAUACUGUCAGAAACAUAACCUUUUUCCGACAAACAUUCCAUUUUUUGACAGAAUGACUUUGUCUGACUCAAAAACAAAGCGGAAACCAUGCUUAUUCAAAAGCGACCCGAACACUAAAUUCUUGUGAAUUUCCGGCACAUAAAGCAUAUUGUUAAGAGUCAGCUCCUUUCCCGAGGUCAUCUUCAGAACCACUUUUCCUUGACCCUUGAUUUCAGAAGUUGCUGAAUUUCCCAUAAACAAUUUCUCCCCAUUCUCAACAGCUUCGAACGUAUCAAACAUCUUUUUAUCAGAGCACACAUGCCUUGUAGCACCGAUGUCAAUCCACCACUCUUUAGGGUUUGAACCCACCAUGUUUACUUCAGAAAUGACUGCUGCGAGAUUCAGCUUCGACACAUCUUGUGCCAUGUAGUCAACCACGUUCGCUUCUUUCUUCUUCUCGAUAAUCUGCACUCCGAAGACUUGUGACCCACUUUGUCACAAUUGAAGCAUUUCCCUUGAAAUUUCUUCUUGACAAUUCCACCUUUCGGUCCUUGCUUGGUUCUUUUGUUACCGGAUGGUCCAAACUUGUUUUUGUAGUUCUUACUACUUUGACCAAGCUCCACAACAUUGGCUUUGGCCACACCAGGAUUGAACCACUUCUUCUCGGAACUCUUGUUAUCUUCUUCGAUUCGAAGUCUGACAACGAGUUCUUCGACAUUCAUUUCCUUUCGUUUGUGUUUCAAAUAGUUCUUGAAAUCUUUCCACGCGGGAGACAAUUUUUCUAUAAUUGCAACCACUUGAAAAGUUCUACUUAACAUCAUUACUUCGGCAUGAAUUUCGUGAAGGAUCACUUGGAGUUCUUGCACUUGACUGAUAACAGUUUUGAAGUCCACCAUCUUAUAGUCUAAGAAUUUGUCGACUAUAAACUUUUUAACCCCAGCAUCCUUAAUUUUGUAUUUCUGGCCCAAGGACUCCUACAAUUCCUUAGUAGUUUUCAUGGUGCUACAUACAUUGUACAUCACAUCUGCUAGGUUGUUCAUGAUAUAAUUUCGACACAGAAAGUUCGAAUGCUUCCAAGCAUCAAGUACACUCAAUGCUUGCACAUCUCCCUCUCCCUCAUUAAGCUUUGGAGUAGUUUCAGUCAAGAAUCUCGCAAGAUUCAAGGUGGUCAAGUAAAAAAGCAUUUUCUGCUACCAUCUUUUGAAAUUCAAGCCAUUGAAUUUUUUCGAUUUUUCUCCAUGAUUAACCGGAACAAUUACAGUUUGGCCAGUUAGCUCACAACAUGACUUGACAUUCUAACCACAGUCUGAGCCACAACGGAACUUGGCCCUUGAGCCACAUUAGAACCCACAGCCUGACUUCCAACGAGAACAUUUUGGGUCACAUCCAUGUUUGAUUCGGUUGCCAUUUCUGAAAACAAACCAAAUAUUAGUUCCAAGAAACUCAAUUCAAUGAAACCAAAAAAAAAAAAAAACGACUCUUGUUUUUUAAAACCAAAUAUUAGUUUCAAG